UUACGGACACAGUAUGAACAUACAGAUUUAUUUACAGGGACACCCCGCAGCGAUGCCCAGUGUGUGGCCACCAUGGGCAGAGACAUCGCCCUGGGCCUCCUGGGCACAGGCACUGCCUCAGGGCCAGCACCCCAAAGGCCUUUCUCCAAGGGAUGCUGGGCGAAGGGGCAGCAGCAGCAGCAGCAGGGCUGCGGUAGGCAGGGCUGCAGGGGCCCCGUCACCCUUGUGUCAUAGUGCCAGCACCCGGCCAUGCAGCAUCACAAUGCUCCGGGGCAGUAUGUGUCCAGCGCCCUCCCCUGUCCCGCUACCAGAGUGCCCGGCGCUGCCACCGGGACAGAGCUGGCAGCCUGAGGGCAUCUGAGAGGCAGUCCCUGGGGCACCGGGGGAAUUCCUGGCAGGGGGGAGGGGGUUGAUGGGGGCAACCCUUGAAGCUGCACGAAGCUGCAGGAGGUUCUGUGCUGCGGUUCCAGCUCCUGGAGGGGCCACGCUCAAAGCUCAUCGCAUGGAUGGAUGGAUGGAAAUCCUGCUUCAGUCGUUGGGGAGCUUGCCGUCCUCAUCUCCUGGGCACCAGGGAAUUAGGUGAGGGGGGGACUAAGGGAGAGAACACUUGAAGCUGCAAAGCUGCAGGAGGUUCUGUGCUGCAGCUCCAGCUUCUGGAGGGGCCACGCUCAAAGCAUCAUCGAGGGAUCGUGCUUUAGUUGUCAGGGAGUUCGACGUCCUCACCUCCUGGGGAGAGAGUGGCAGCAGCCAGAAGAAAAAGGAUGCACAGGUGGCUCAGUGCCCUCCCCCAGUGCUCUGGAGCUCCCACUGCCAAGCACAGGAAGGAUUCGUGCUCCGAGGAUUCAUCAGGCCAAAGGCAUUUUGCUGUUGUUGGAAGCCCCUGAGAUGGCUUCAGGUGGAAGCAGAAAAAGCAGUGCCAGUGUCCCCUUGUCCCCUUAGAGGCGUAACCAGCUUGUGGAGCUGGAGCAGGUCUUGCUCACGUGCUCAGGGAGUAGCCGAUCGCCAGCACUGGGGUCAGGAAGGAAUUUUCCUCCGGGGCAGAUUGGCACCGGUCCCCGGGGGUUUUUUGCCUUCCUCUGAGCACUGAGCAUGACCCCUUGUCAGGGCUCCUCAGUCCACUCUGGCUGCGUUAUCGCCUGGUGCUCAUGCUCCACGAAGGCGGCCCCUCGUGUCCUGCAGCUGGGGGGGGGAAGGCUUUUUUGCCCCCAGGCUGGACUAGCAAGCGUCCCUGGGGUUUUUUGCCUUCCUCUGCAGCCGAGCACAGCCCCUUCAUGGGGCUCCUUUGGGUCAUGGUGUCCCAAAGGCAGCUGCUCGUGCUCCACGCAGGUGGCCCUCGUGCCCCGCAUCCGGGGGGAGGCAGCCUUCUGCACUCCCAGGGUGGCCCCAGCAUGGCCCCGGGACUCCCAGGGUGGGCCCAGCGUGGCCCCGGGACUUGCUGCUGUCCUCUGGAGGAUUGAGCACCACACCUCGACAGGUCUUCCCUGGCCCUUUCUGGCUGGGUUCUUCUUGCACUGCUCUCGCGCCGCCAUGGCACCGCUCCUGCCCUGCCUUUCCUUUCUCAGGAUGCAAGGGAGGCUUUUGCCACCUAAACUGAAGGCUCUAAACUAAACCCGACUAAAAUUAACUCAGCUAAACUAAAUCAAAUAACUUUAUCUAGAAAUAAAUAAAAUACUCUUUCUACCCAUAA